GUAAAAUCAGGAAGGGCAGCCCACUUCUUGGAAUUUUCUUGGAAUUUCAUUUAUACAUUUGAUGGGGGCUUUCUAUAGAGUAUUGCUACUAUUUUGUACAUACAGGACUCACAAUUGGUUUGAAUAAUCAAUUUUUUUGGGGUCAGGUCAGGGUCUUUCUUCUUUCUUGGUCUGAUUGCUGGCUUCUUGAUCACUUGUGGAUCGAUCAAUGGAAACGGGAGAAAUGGGUCUUGUGGAAUUGUUCGGCUAUGACAAAGAAUUAAAUUUAAUUCCUCCUCCAGUAACAUCGGAUAAUUGGGGUUGGCUAGACGAUGAACGCGAGGACAUGACAGAAGAGGAAUACUGCUCUUACAGGGAUCAAGUUUUGAAGAGUGAUGGCUUUGAUGUUGACCGCAUUCCUGGCGUCGCUUGUUUUCACCAAAUUCAGCCUUACAACGUGGACAAAAAGACUUGGGAUUACGAAGGGUAUUCGCGGCUUGCAAUCGAGGAAUACAACUUUCGCUUCAAGGAUGGAGAUGCAGGGUUGGAGUUUGUAAAGGUGCUGAAGGCAAUGGGUCAGACUGCCAACGCAAUGAGGUUUUAUUUAACCCUUGAGGCUAGGGAUCUUGCUGAUGGAGGCAAGACUAAGAUCUAUCAAGCUGUGGUAUUAUCGGGGGUAACUGAGGAUACAGUGUCAUCCUUUAGGCUAAAACCUCCUGAAGAUGAGAAAGUGGACAUGCAGUGAUCACCUUCACAUUGUUGCAAUUAUUGUAUUUUCACACUACCCUUUCCAGUUUGCAAAGAGGUAUGCUAUCCUUCUAAGUGUAAUCCAAGCUGACCAAACUUUUUCAAGUAUAUGUGGUAGUCUACCAAAUACUCUAAAAGAGAGUUACUUCCCUGGGGUCUAAGAACAUGACAGAGAGAAUGAAUGAACCGUGAAUUUUCUUUUCCUGGAAGUUUUUGGAGGGCUACUCUUAACUUUGAUCAGUUGCAGUCAUGGAAAAGAAUGGUUUUGGGAAGAUCAUCUUUGUAGUGGUCUGAUAUGUUGAGUUUGACCAGAAGACUUUUCUGGGGGUGUCAAGUUGACGGAGUUUAAGAUGGUUGUUAGAAAGAUGACUUGUGUAAGCUAAAUGCAAAGACAAUUUUUUAGUGUUUACUUAGUCGUUGGAAUGCUGGUAUAAUAUUGGUUGCUUGAUUUUGUUUGCAAGACUGGUUUAAUCGUAUGUGGGUAGUUGCAGUGUAUGGUACCUCUAGAACUCCUUCACGGCACCGUAGUUGCAAUGUAUGGUAUAAUUUUUAAUAUUAUAUUUUUUUUGGGAUUUAAAAAAGUUGAAUGUUUAUUAUAUUU